GGCCGGGUAUUGGACAGUGUAAAAAGAGUCUUCGGACUAAAGCUGUCAGCCGCCUGGUGGCGGUGUUGAAGUGCCUGGCCGCCCUCUC
rnacentral:ncRNA from 1 species